rnacentral:rRNA from 1 species
CCCUUAGAUGUUCCGGGCCGCACGCGUGCUACACUGAGUGGAUCAGCGGGUCAGGUUGCGCGAAAGUGUUUCCUAAUCUUGAAAUCCGCUCGUGAUGGGGAUUGACGGUUGCAAUUUUCCGUCAUGAACGAGGAAUACCUUGUAAGCGCGGGUCAUCAUCCCGCGCUGAAUACGUCCCUGCCCUUUGUACACACCGCCCGUCGCUCCUACCGAUUGAGUGGUCCGGUGAGGCUUUGGGAUCUGAGCAAAAAGAGCGUUUCGCUCGUUUGGCUCGGAAAACUCAGUCGAACCUUAUCAUUUAGAGGAAGGAGAAGUCGUAACA